rnacentral:rRNA from 1 species
GCGGACGGGUGCCUCAGUAGCGGCGAGUGAAGCGGCACAAGCUCAGAUUUGAAAUCGUGCUUUGCGGCACGAGUUGUAGAUUGCAGGUUGGAGUCUGUGUGGAAGGCGGUGUCCAAGUCCCUUGGAACAGGGCGCCCAGGAGGGUGAGAGCCCCGUGGGAUGCCGGCGGAAGCAGUGAGGCCCUUCUGACGAGUCGAGUUGUUUGGGAAU